rnacentral:rRNA from 1 species
AGAGUUUGAUCAUGGCUCAGGAUGAACGCUGGCGGCGUGCUUAACACAUGCAAGUCGAGCGAGAAAUCGGGAAAUGAAGCUUCGGUAGAUUUGAACGAUGGAAAGCGGCGGACGGGUGAGUAACACGUGGGAAACCUGCCUUUUGCAGAGGGACAGCCGAGGGAAACUUCGAUUAAUACCUCAUAACGCAUCAUCGUCGCAUGGCGGAGAUGCCAAAGAUUUAUCGGCAAGAGAUGGUCCCGCGUCUGAUUAGCUGGUUGGUGAGGUAGCGGCUCACCAAGGCGACGAUCAGUAGCCGGCCUGAGAGGGUGAACGGUCACAUUGGAACUGAGACACGGUCCAGACUCCUACGGGAGGCAGCAGUGGGGAAUAUUGCACAAUGGGCGCAAGCCUGAUGCAGCAACGCCGCGUGAAGGAUGAAGGCCUUCGGGUCGUAAACUUCUGUCCAAAGGGAAGAACAAAUGACGGUACCUUUGGAGGAAGCCCCGGCUAACUACGUGCCAGCAGCCGCGGUAAUACGUAGGGGGCAAGCGUUAUCCGGAAUUACUGGGCGUAAAGAGUGCGUAGGUGGCACUGUAAGCGCAGGGUUUAAGGCAACGGCCCAACCGUUGUUUGCCCUGCGAACUGCAGAGCUUGAGUGCAGGAGGGGAAAGUGGAAUUCCUAGUGUAGCGGUGAAAUGCGUAGAUAUUAGGAGGAACACCGGUGGCGAAGGCGACUUUCUGGACUGUAACUGACACUGAGGCACGAAAGCGUGGGUAGCAAACAGGAUUAGAUACCCUGGUAGUCCACGCCGUAAACGAUGAGCACUAGGUGUCGGGCUCGCAAGAGUUCGGUGCCGGAGCAAACGCAUUAAGUGCUCCGCCUGGGGAGUACGCACGCAAGUGUGAAACUCAAAGGAAUUGACGGGGACCCGCACAAGCAGCGGAGCAUGUGGUUUAAUUCGAAGCAACGCGAAGAACCUUACCAGGGCUUGACAUCCUCCUGACGUAUCGGGUAAUGCUGAUAUUCUCUUCGGAGCAGGAGUGACAGGUGGUGCAUGGUUGUCGUCAGCUCGUGUCGUGAGAUGUUGGGUUAAGUCCCGCAACGAGCGCAACCCUUAUGUUUAGUUGCUACGCAAGAGCACUCUAGACAGACUGCCGUUGACAAAACGGAGGAAGGUGGGGACGACGUCAAAUCAUCAUGCCCCUUACGUUCCGGGCUACACACGUACUACAAUGGUGAGAACAAAGGGAAGCGAUACCGCGAGGUGGAGCGAAUCCCAUAAAAAUCAUCCCAGUUCGGACUGCAGGCUGCAACUCGCCUGCACGAAGUUGGAAUUGCUAGUAAUCGCGGAUCAGCAUGCCGCGGUGAAUACGUUCCCGGGCUUUGUACACACCGCCCGUCAAACCAUGAAAGUUGGGAACACCCGAAGCCUGUGAGCUAACCGCAAGGAGGCAGCAGUCGAAGGUGGGUUCAAUGAUUGGGGUUAAGUCGUAACAAGGUAACCGUA